rnacentral:lncRNA from 1 species
UCUAACCUCUCUAACCUCUAAUUUUCUAACCUUUUUCUACUUUUCAAGUAAUCGUAUGAUGAAUGCUCAAUAUUUUGACGACAUUUUCCUUUUAGGAUUUUAAACGAAGUUUAUGCUGUAAAUAUGAAUGAAUGUUAUUGUGAUAUUAUAGAGAUGAGUGACUAAUAGACCAGGACUAAUCUG